AUUGAACGCUGGCGGCAUGCCUUACACAUGCAAGUCGAACGGUAACGGAUCCUUCGGGAUGCCGACGAGUGGCGAACGGGUGAGUAAUACAUCGGAACGUGCCUGGUAGUGGGGGAUAACUACUCGAAAGAGUGGCUAAUACCGCAUGAGAUCUCAGGAUGAAAGCAGGGGACCCUCGGGCCUUGCGCUAUCAGAGCGGCCGAUGGCAGAUUAGGUAGUUGGUGGGAUAAAAGCUUACCAAGCCGACGAUCUGUAGCUGGUCUGAGAGGACGAUCAGCCACACUGGGACUGAGACACGGCCCAGACUCCUACGGGAGGCAGCAGUGGGGAAUUUUGGACAAUGGGCGCAAGCCUGAUCCAGCAAUGCCGCGUGCAGGAUGAAGGCCUUCGGGUUGUAAACUGCUUUUGUACGGAACGAAAAGCUUCGGGCUAAUACCCUGGAGUCAUGACGGUACCGUAAGAAUAAGCACCGGCUAACUACGUG
rnacentral:rRNA from 1 species